UUAUAGGACAAACCAAACCACUCGACGAUAUUGGUUAUGCUACGUAUUCCAAACUGAAUCAGACGUGCGUGUGUCCUGUUCUGGACUAUUCAGUAGGAGUGUGGGGUGAUAAGAGGAACAUGUCCACAACAGAGCAGCAUGUUACUGUUUAGGUGUCCAUAGGUUUGCCUGUUCUGGACUGUUCAGCAGGAGUGUGGGGUGAUAAGAGGAACAUGUCCACAACAGAGCAGCAUGUUACUGUUUAGGUGUCCGUAGGUUUGCCUGUUCUGGACUGUUCAGUAGGAGUGUGGGGUGAUAAGAGGAACAUGUCCACAACAGAGCAGGACGUUACUGUUUAGGUGUCCAUAGGUUUGCACCAACACCUAUUACUUGGAAUAACUGGGGCAGCAGGUAGCCUAGUGGUUAGAGAGGGACGGCAGGGUAGCCUAGUGGUUAGAGCGUUGGACUAGUAACCGGAAGGUUGCGAGUUCAAACCCCCGAGCUGACAAGGUACAAAUCUGUCGUUCUGCCCCUGAACAGGCAGUUAACCCACUGUUCCCAGGCCAUAAUUGAAAAUAAGAAUGUGUUCUUAACUGACUUGCCUGGUUAAAUAAAGGUAAAAUAAAAAUAAAAAAAUUAAAAACCAUGGACGGGGUGUGAGAGAUGGAAGGCGUGUGAGACAGGUGUGACUUGCACUGUCAACUGUGGAACCUUAUAUAGACAGGUGUGUGCCUUUCCAAAUCAUGUCCAAUCAAUUGAGUUUACCACAGGUGGACUCCAGUCAAGUUGUAGAAGCAUCUCAAGGAUGAUCAAUGGAAUCAGGAUGCAGCUGAGCUCAAUUUAGAGUCUCAUAGCAAAGGGUCUGAAUACUGAAGUAAAUAAGCUAUUUCUGCUUUUUGUUUUUUGCAAAUUUACAAGAAUUUCU